CGGGGCGGCCAGGCGAUCGCGUGGUCAACCGUGCCAUGAGGAAAGUCCGAGCAUCAAAGGGCAGGAUGCCGGCUAACGGCCGGUGGAGGCAACUCCAAGGAAAGUGCAACAGAGAUAUACCGCCGUCGGGUUCGUCCCGGCGGUAAGGCUGGAAAGGCGAGGUAAGAGCUCACCCAAGCUUAUGGUAACAUAGGCUUGCUGUAAACCCCAUCCGAUGCAAGAUCCGACCAGAAGCUAUACGGCGGCCCGUCGUGCUUCUAAAGAGAUCGCUAGAGCCGUGCGGCAACGCACGGAGUAGAUAGAUGAUCGUCCAACGACAGAACUCGGCUUACGACCGCACCCGCAUC
rnacentral:RNase_P_RNA from 1 species